CAGUAGCCACGGUAAUACGUAGGUGGCAAGCGUUGUCCGGAAUUAUUGGGCGCAAAGGGCUCGCAGGCGGUUUCUUAAGUCUGAUGUGAAAGCCCCCGGCUCAACCGGGGAGGGUCAUUGGAAACUGGGAAACUUGAGUGCAGAAGAGGAGAGUGGAAUUCCACGUGUAGCGGUGAAAUGCGUAGAGAUGUGGAGGAACACCAGUGGCGAAGGCGACUCUCUGGUCUGUAACUGACGCUGAGGAGCGAAAGCGUGGGGAGCGAACAGGAUUAGAUACCCCUGUAGUCCCUGUCUCUUAUAA
rnacentral:rRNA from 1 species